CCUACGGGGGGCUGCAGUGGGGAAUAUUGCACAAUGGGCGCAAGCCUGAUGCAGCCAUGCCGCGUGUGUGAAGAAGGCCUUCGGGUUGUAAAGCACUUUCAGCGGGGAGGAAGGCGGUGAGGUUAAUAACCUCAUCGAUUGACGUUACCCGCAGAAGAAGCACCGGCUAACUCCGUGCCAGCAGCCGCGGUAAUACGGAGGGUGCAAGCGUUAAUCGGAAUUACUGGGCGUAAAGCGCACGCAGGCGGUCUGUCAAGUCGGAUGUGAAAUCCCCGGGCUCAACCUGGGAACUGCAUUCGAAACUGGCAGGCUAGAGUAUGGUAGAGGGGGGUAGAAUUCCAGGUGUAGCGGUGAAAUGCGUAGAGAUCUGGAGGAAUACCGGUGGCGAAGGCGGCCCCCUGGACAAAGACUGACGCUCAGGUGCGAAAGCGUGGGGAGCAAAUAGGAUUAGAUACCCGUGUAGUC
rnacentral:rRNA from 1 species